rnacentral:lncRNA from 1 species
UUUUUUUAUUCGACAAACAUUAGCACUACGUCCUUUUAAACCAGUGAACGGUAACAGAUGUACUAACAGGAUAUCAUAAAUCUUGUAUCAAUGAAACUGUUAACCAAUAAUAACCUUCCAAUAAUUAUUCAGAGGUAUCCGUUUGUGCCAAUAAUGCGUCCUUUUGCGCCAGAACUCAUUUGCGAAAAUCGUUAGUUGCGCCACUAGUUUUCAAAAAUAAUUAGUAUCUACUGCGACGAAAAUAAAGUAAAUGUUCGAUUGCCUUAUUCUUAGAUUCCUUCCUUUUAUAAUAAACUCCCUCAUCAAUUCUUUCCCCUUGCUAAUGCCAUUUUGACAUCAAUUGUAAAGUGCAGGGGGGUCUCAACACAUAGGGCGGGGGUCUCAACAUAUAAAUUUGGGGAUUGACGUCACUCUGCCAACCUUCCACUCAUAUGUUUUUAAGGAAAAUCACUACCGGCAUAAACAUAUUUCAAAGGCAAAUCAUAAUCCUUUCAUAUAUUUUCCAGCUCUCAGCGAGACAUGCAUGACAUAUCUGAAUGAGAUCGUAACCGUAU